AUAAAACUUUUAAGAGAAACUUUUAAGGAAUUAUUGGAAUUUUCUCCUGAAGGUUUUGCAAAUUUUCAGAAAUUUGGGGAAUUUUUUUGCUGAAUUUUUGGAUUUUUUUCAGACAAAGAAACCCAUAAGUGAAGACAACAGGAGGGUUAAUGAAGAUAAGUACGUUGAUUUUCUGGAUAAAGAGGCUGAAUUCUAACUAAUUCUGCUGGAAAACCUUAAUUAAAUAUGAAAGGAUUGUCAUACAGAUGCAGAAUUUAAUUACAUGCAGCUGUUUUUUUAAAGUUUUAUUAUUAUUAUUAUUAAUGCGUUUGCCCGCGACCCUAGUGUGGAUUAAGCGGUGUAUACAUAAUGGAUGGAUGGAUGGAUAAUGCGUUUGUUUUUAUCUUAUAUAUUAGAUGUUUCGAUGCAGGAUGAGCUUUAUCUGUGAUCUCAAGAAUUGGUGAUUAAAUUAUCAAAAAAUAAAGAGAAAAAAUGGAAAGUGACAUCAGAUGAAUGAAAAAAAGAAAUGUAAAUGCAUAAAACAUUAUUUUCAAUCGUGUAGAUUCAUGUUUAUUAAUUUUUGCUUUUAGCAGGCAUGGCAAUUUUCCGCCGUUCCGCGGAAAUCCGCCGUUUUAAUUUUCAAAUUGAUCGUUUCUGUGAAUCGUCCAAAUCCGUUCAGAAAAUUUUAGGGGAGGUGAGGUAUGUUUUUGUUACUCUUGCUCCCGGCUUUUGAGAAGCGCUCGGCGUUUCUCCCGCAGCGUAACAGACAAAAGCCGCGAUUCCACAAGCAUCUACUCGGCGCGGUACGGUUCGCCACUACUGUAUCUGACUCGGCUCGUCUCGGUUUAGUUGUUUUUCCAUAUAGCCUCAUCGUGGGUGGAGUCGUCAUAGCGCAGCGAGCCGAAAGUCCCUUAACGUCAUUUGCGUGCGACACAAACGCAACAUAACGGAGACGAUGGUUCACCUGCUGCUCGGUCUGUGGCUUUCUGUCAGAUUCAGAGUAAUAGAAGAGUCUUAGAAAGCUGAGAGCAGCGAGUCGAAACACUCAGGAGACACACAGGAGAGUUUGGGAGGCGAUGCAGCAGUAUCAAGCUGAAGACAAGAGGAUAUGAACGAGACGACAUAUGAGGAUGCUCUCUGAUGAGACUUCAUGGGAUUUACCUGAAGCAGCAGCACAUGAGCCUGCAGUGGCACAAGGUGUAGAGGAGGAGGACAGAGAUGUACAGGAUGCACUGAUGCACUACGUGUCAUGCAAAAGUUAAGUUAUUCUUCUUGUUAUACUUCCGUUUUUCUGUCCCCGGACCACUAUUGUUUUCUUUAAUGCAAUUCUGACAAUAAACUUUUGUACCUUU